GAGCCGGUAGCUCAGCUGGUAGAGCAUUCGACUUUUAAUCGAACGGUCCAGGGUUCGAAUCCCUGCCGGCUCACCA
rnacentral:tRNA from 1 species